rnacentral:lncRNA from 1 species
GCCCUGCUGAUGUUGAUUCAUUCUUUUGUUCUUGCAGUGCAACUAAGUUGAUAAAGAAUCGACUAAGAAAGACAGAACUGGUGCUAAUAAAUAAAGACAAAAUUGAAAUACGAAACACAUACUAAUCACACUUAGUUAAUAUUUGUUACAAAGAAGGGGAAAAAGGUUAAGAAAGUCUUACGAAAAUGUCACACCCCGAUUUCCACGUAAAAGUAUCAUGAUCAUCCCAUAACAUCAUACUAUAUCAAAGAAUGAAUUCACAUUACAUGCUCUAAAUGUAUGAUAUCAAGUCUGCCACCAACUUCGCAUUUUACCUCUUACAAUAACAUUUGAUGAUAAUUUCAAAAAAUAUAAUAAUAAAGACGUAAGUAUCACCUGUCGUUAUGGGACUUGAUUCUGAUGGCUUCUCGGUUGCUUCGACGUCCAUUGCCAUAACAUCGUGGACGUUAGUUAGCAUCCACCUUUGUCAUAAUUUCAUCCGUGUUUGCUGCCAUUGCCACGGGUGAGGCUCCAUUCUCCACCAUUAGCUUUGAACAAUAAAAGAAGUUUAUAUAAUAACAAAUGUUGAUAACCCUUGGCAACAGUUUAGGUUUCCAUGUUUUCCAUAACCAGCAUCUGCCGGUCUUCAAGAAUUAUUUUCCACGCUGAAGACACCUACUCCCAUCGUUUCAAUUAUGAAUGAUGCAUUUCUUGCUUAGAGGCCAAGGUUUAAGAAAUGUUUUUUUUUCUCUUCACAUUUUAACUAUUUUCAAAUAAAUUAUAUAAAUGAUCCUUUAAGAAUUAUUACUCUCCGUAUAUAAAGGUGUGUUCAUCUAGACCCCUUGAAUAUAUUUUUGUGAAUAAGCCUUUAAGGUAUUAACCUUAACCGGCCUUAUAACCUUAUUAUGACCCAGGUGUCAAGUUAAAACCAGGUUAUGAAUCAAGUUUCAGAAUAAAUGAGUUGGUUGAUAUUUAUAUAUAUUAAAAACUAAUAUAGGUUGUAUGUCAACAUGAUAAAUUAAAUUUAUAACCUGGCCUAGUUGAAAAAAAAGCCAAACACUCUACAGUAAAAAAAACACAUGAAGACCACUAAAUAAGCAUUGCCAACUGGAAAACAAAAAUAUGAUAAACAAAACAACUUUCUAUUCAAGAGGAUCUGACCCAACUUAAACAUGAGCAAAAGUAUAUCCACAAAAUAAACCAUCUAUACGAAACAUAUACACAACAUCAACAUACACAAUACUUCAGCACUAUAG